UCAUAGCAUCUCUUCAUGUGAAAUCUUAUCUCCAAUAAUAAAAUUUCCAUAUGUACUUAUAUAACAUUUUUUUUAGACUAUUCCGUUCACAUCGAAUUUAAAGGUAUCGUAAUACCUUAUUCUUAAUAUUCCUUCAAGUACAUAUUAAUUCAUUUCUAGGGUUUUGGAAUUUUGUAACCCAUAUUUCCUCUAUUCUUAUUCGAAUAGCAAACCAUAUAGGUUUUACUUGAAAAAUUUUAAAUAAAUCCUCAAAUUCUUAUCUAGGUUUUAUUCUUUAACCUUUAUUCUAAUCAUUCAAGAUUUUAGAAAUUUUCGGGGUAUCACAUUCACCCCUUCUUCUAAGAAUUUCGUCCUCGAAAUUAAAGCAUACUAAUCUCUGCUCAUUCUCUUAUCCAUAACUAGGUUUUCAACUUAACCUUUACAAUUUCCUCCUUUGAGGAUUUCUCUUUCUAUCAUCACAUUUCAUCAUAACUACUCACUAGGAGUUUACAUUAUUUCAUAUCAAUCAUCACGUUCUACCACAACAUUACUCUGAAGGGUUUAAAAAAAACUUUUCAUAUCUGUCUGAGGGAUCAUAAAAAUUAUGAACUUUGAACUCCGAGGUUUAGGGGUAUUUCUACCUGCUACCUCUUUCAAUUAAGAAAGAAAGGUACUCUACCUCUUAAACAUUUCUUUAAUAGGUAUGUUUACAAUCACGAAGAAGGUAAACUACCGAUUCUGGUACUUUAGAUGAUCAGUCUAUUGUACCUUAGUAAUCCGAAC
rnacentral:lncRNA from 1 species